rnacentral:lncRNA from 1 species
ACAACCUAGGACCCUUUCACUUCACUUCCUCACCCCAGUUCAUCUCUAUGAACCCUAGCUCGCUGCCCUGAAAUUCCUAAGCCCCCACCGGCCGGCAGUGUGGCCCAGCCAACCCCAAAUCCUUACCACACAAGCACCACCCACCCUUGAUUCCUAAUACACCACCGCAUCUCCCAAAAUCUCCACCAAAUCCGGCCAGCUUUAAAUCUAAAAAAAAAAGAAAGAAAAACCUUCAAAUUCUUCAAGUUUCCAAGAGCGAUUGAGCCAGAAACUUGUAUUGAUUGUUUUUUCUCGAUGAGAACAUGCAAUUAAUACCAAUUUCAGUUCAAAUCAGAGAGUGUCGGAGGUCCGUUCAAGCCAACUGUCCGUCUGCCUAUUUUAGGUAUCUCUGUUCAUUUUUUUCGGCCUUUGUUUUAUUCCCAUCUUCGUCUCCUUCUGGUUUUAUAUUUUUGUUUUUGUUUUUCUGUUUUAGAUCGUUUUGCUUGCAUGUUAGGAUUAAGUCAUGUUAGUUUAUAAUAUUUAGCUUAAUAAUACGAUUAGCAUUUGUCAAUUUUCCUUCUCCUUCUUUUUUAAUAUUAUUAUUAUUCUGCUCCAUUAAGGAUUUCAUGGUCAGGGUUUAGAAUUGGUUUAGUAUGCAUUUUCUUGGGAAUUCAUUUGCUUAAACAUGAACUUGGUCUUGCUAGUGCAAGAAGCCCAAAGAGCUAUUUGAAGCUCGGUGGUGCAGGGGCCCAAAGGCACUUGGGCAGUUUGGUUCAAGGUCUGGUGCGUUGAAGUAAUUAGUAAGCGUUUGAGGGGUAUUUUAAGGAAUUUGAUAGGGGAAUCUCCCCUAACCCUUUGGAAAUUUCUAGGAAGGUGGGAUUGGAUUAGUUUUAACAAACAACUUUAAAAUGCAAGGGCUGAAAGGAAUAGAUAAAAAUUGGGGAAGGUGUAAAUGGAAAAGUUAAAAUAUCAAUUCUGCUGCCUUAAGGGCUUUCUAUAAAAGACUUGUUUCCUUCAUUCUCAAGGGAGAGGAGAAUAUUGAAAAGAUAAAUGGUUGAGCCAUUCAUACUCUGAUAAUACUAAAAAAAAUUGUAGUCUUUUGGUCAAACUUGUCUUGGCUUUGUUUUUUAACAUUGAUUGUUAGUCAGAAUUUGAAAGCUUCAAAGAAUUUUUGUUCAUCUGGUUUUAAAAUGAUCUAAAGUGGGCUAAAAAUUGGUGUUGGUGUUGCUGAUCUACUGUUGUUGCUAAGUUCCUCACUAUCCUUGUUUUUUCUAAACCUUCAGGUAUUUCUCGACUCUGGACAACAUAUGAGAUGUAAAUGUGUACUCCAAAUGUGGAAAAUAUGUUGAAUACAAGUUGUUAUUUUGUUGAAUCUUACUUUCUCGUUCUUCAAUUGCAUUCGUGUUUUGUAAUAACUUAAUUUUUAUAUGUAUUCUACUGUCCUUUUAUGUUAGUGAUGUGGUAUCAUAUUAUUAAGUUUGGG